UUUGUACAAUUUCAAAGAUGAAAAAGACAAAGAUGACAUUUUCUUUGAUUUUGACUUUAGUCACUUUUUUCUUCUUUUUUUUUAUACAAUAAGUAUACAUAUAACUGCAGUUAAAUAAUAAAAAAAUGCUGUCCCUUAACAGCAACUAGGCUCUGCUGUGCUGCAGAAGAUAAGAACAUCUUCUCUUUAUAUAUUCUAAUAGUAGAUUCUAGUUUUUGACGUUUUUUGAUCAAUUUUCUGACCUGUUAAAUAUCUAAACAUAAAUGACAACACUUAAUAAACUAAAACAAAUGAACCAAAACCAAAAAAUAAAUUUUUUCAGAUUUUUUGCAUUUUUCUUCAAAGCCAAAGAGCCGCAAUGGAGGAAUAAAAGAGGUGCGUGUUUCUCCAGAGCCUCAGGCUACAGACCCUUGACCUGAUCCGAGUAUGAAAACAUUAAAGACUGCACUCUUUAAAACUUCAGAGUUCUGCUGUGAACUUGGAGGUGAGGGGCUCCUGAGGAGUGGAGGUGGAGGAUUCACUGGGGCCACCCCCUAAAGGGAGGAGCUAAAGGCCAAAAAGAGGAGGAGUUUUGUUGUGUUGUUGUUUACAGUUCUGCAGGUUUUCAUCUUCAUGCAGAUCACUGGAAUGCUCCAUGAUGAAUGUUUCUGCAUAUUUGAUCCCUUCCAUGAUGAUCUGACUGAAUCCUUGUUGAUCAAGGAUUUUCGGUGAAUCCCUCAUCAGAACUGCUUGUGUUUCUGUGCUCAGAUGGAAAGAGGUUUGUGUCAGAGGACGACAGCAGAGUUUGGAGAGGCGGUCUCAACAGUCUUCACGCGCUGCUCAAAGACCUCCAGAGGCUUCAGCUGCUGGACUUCAGAAGGACCAACACUGUUCUGAACUCAGACAAAUCGCUGCUCCACUGUCUCAGGAGGAGAUGAGUCUCGUGGUCGCUCGGCUCCACCAGCAAACUGAGCUCCGCCUCUCUGGAUGUUUCCUCGCUUUAGUGUUCGUCGUGACACAUGAAUAAAGUCUGCUAAACCACGACUUUGACUUUCUG
rnacentral:lncRNA from 1 species